rnacentral:rRNA from 1 species
GACGGAGGAUGCAAGCGUUAUCCGGAAUCACUGGGCGUAAAGCGUCUGUAGGUGGCCAAAUAAGUCAACUGUUAAAUCUUGAGGCUCAACCUCAAAAUCGCAGUCGAAACUAUUAGACUAGAGUAUAGUAGGGGUAAAGGGAAUUUCCAGUGGAGCGGUGAAAUGCGUAGAGAUUGGAAAGAACACCGAUGGCGAAGGCGCUUUACUGGGCUAUUACUGACACUCAGAGACGAAAGCUAGGGUAGCAAAUGGG